AUUGAACGCUGGCGGCAGGCCUAACACAUGCAAGUCGAACGGUAGCACAGAGAGCUUGCUCUCGGGUGACGAGUGGCGGACGGGUGAGUAAUGUCUGGGAAACUGCCUGAUGGAGGGGGAUAACUACUGGAAACGGUAGCUAAUACCGCAUAACGUCGCAAGACCAAAGAGGGGGACCUUCGGGCCUCUUGCCAUCAGAUGUGCCCAGAUGGGAUUAGCUAGUAGGUGGGGUAAUGGCUCACCUAGGCGACAAUCCCGAGCUGGUCUGAGAGGAUGAGCAGCCACACUGGAACUGCGACACGGUCCAGACUCCUACGGGAGGCAGCAGUGGGGAAUAUUGCACAAUGGGCGCAAGCCUGAUGCAGCCAUGCCGCGUGUGUGAAGAAGGCCUUCGGGUUGUAAAGCACUUUCAGCGGGGAGGAAGGCGGUGAGUUUAAUAAGCUCACCGAUUGACGUUACCCGCAGAAGAAGCACCGGCUAACUCCGUGCCAGCCGCCGCCGUAA
rnacentral:rRNA from 1 species